ensembl:snRNA U6 U6 spliceosomal RNA
GUGCUCGCUUUGGCAGCAUAUAUACUAAAAUUGGAAUGAUACAGAGAUUAUCAUGGCCCCUGUGCAAGGAUGACACACAAAAAUGCAACCGAUUUCUGAAUAUU